rnacentral:rRNA from 1 species
GAUAAACGCUGGCGGCGUGCAUAACACAUGCAAGUCGAACGAUGAAACUUAGAUGAUUUCUUCGGAAUGAACUUAAGUGGAUUAGUGGCGAACGGGUGAGUAACACGUGAGUAACCUGCCUUACACAAGGGGAUAGCCUCUGGAAACGGAGAAUAAUACCCUAUAAAGUCUAAUCAGCUCCUGCUGGAAAGACCAAAGAUUUAUCGGUGUAAGAUGGACUUGCGUCUGAUUAGCUAGUUGGUGAGAUAAAAGCUCACCAAGGCGACGAUCAGUAGCCGGCUUGAGAGAGUGUACGGCCACAUUGGGACUGAGACACGGCCCAAACUCCUACGGGAGGCAGCAGUGGGGAAUUUUGCACAAUGGGGGAAACCCUGAUGCAGCGACGCCGCGUGAUUUAGAAGGCCUUCGGGUGUAAAAU